UCCUUUACAAGAGUUGAUGAUUAUGUCUCCUUUUUCAAGGAAAAUUGUCCUGUUGGAGCAGAAGGGAGUCGGCAUCACUUCAAGGCUUUCAAGAUGUGUUGACUUUGAACAACCCUCAAAUCUCCAUCCAGGGCUGGCCCUAGGGUCAAGUGGGGAAAUUGUUGUCACUCAGACCCCGGCCGCUUUACAGAAUAAUCUAGAGGGCAUUCAGUGCAAAGCUUCAUCCUAUUCUGACAUGUACUUCUACCAGCUGAUACCAGGACAAAAGCCUAAGCUGCUGAUUGAUGGAGCUACCAGCUGUUUUGAGAGGACCCCAGAUGGCUUCAGUGGCCGAGGAAGUGGCACUGACUUCACCUUCGCUAUCAAUGGUGUGCGUCCUGAGGAUGAAGGGGAGUAUUACUGUGGGCAACACUACAGCACAUCUCUGCAAAUCUUAGCAGGACUUGUAACACAACCAACCUCGGGAUCCAAAGACAAUAAGCACAAGUGGUAACAAUUCCAGAAAUAAAUUUAUUAGAGAAAGAGACAUGGUGACAAAAACAGAAGAGAGAAGAACCAAGCAAGUUCUCCUCAAUCCAUUGCUGGGAACCCCUUGAAGGACAACCAGGAUGACCCCGGGCUGGUCACCAGCAUGCAGCAUUCUUCCGGUCUCAGCCUGCAUCGAGGUUUAGUAUUAGGCUGAGAUGUUAGGAUUUUUCUAUCUUACUCAAGCCAAUGGCUUGAGGCUAAUGGAUCAUAUCCGUUUUACAUCAGCCAGCUGUUCUCCCUAUCAUUCCAUUCCAAUUUGUUCUAAGUAGGCAUAAGAAAGGAGGAAAAAUGACAUUUUUCCCUUAAAAGAGAUUUCAUUCCUUUAGGAUUUUUAAAGGGGCAAUGGGUAUAGAAAAAUUGGACGACUGCACACCCCACCUAGCUUGCCUCCUGGAGAUGACAAUAGUCUUCCGCAAGUGCCCCUAUACUCCACCCCCUGAGAAACACAGUGGUCUAUUUCAAGCCCAUUUGCCAUCCACCCUAUUUAGUCAAAUGAGGAUUUGGAUAAACCUCUUCAAAACAAAACUAGCCUGAUUCCAAAGAAUUGAGAAAUACAGUCUUUGGCCUGAUAUUAUCCAGUUGUCUGCCCCUGUAGCAUCCACGCAAUAUCCAGCAACCAUGGUUCUUGUGACAAAACAUGUUGCUUGCACAAGGAUCGGGUGGUCAUGUUGCCUACACCUUGCAGCAGGGAUACGGCCACUUUUUCGUAUGCAGACAGAUCAGCUGGCAUCCAAGAAGGCACUAGAAGGCUUUAAUGGCCAGAAUCACAGGGUUGCUGUGAGUUUUUCGGGCUGCAUGGCCAUAUACCAGUAACAUUCUUUCCUGACAUUUCACCCGCAUCUGUGGCAGGCUUCUUCAGAGAUUCUGUUGGCAAUGGUGCAAGUGGAGUAUAUAUAUCUGCGAAAUGUUCAGGGUGGGAUUCAUCGCUGCCUGAGAGUUGCCUAUCGUUCAGAUUGAUCAUGUUCCACAAAUUAUCCUGUUCAGAUUAAAUUCGGCAAACGGUAAGGCUGGGGAACUGGCCUGGGAGGAGGGCAAGGUGAAAGCGUUUUUGCAGGAGGAGGCAAGGGAAUGAUCCUGGCUGGGCUCCACUGGUCUGCACUGUUAGGCAUCUGAGGGAGAAAGGACUGUUGUCUCUUGACUUCAGUCGCUUAACAUUUGCCAGCUGGCACACACAUCCAGGAUAUCCUUCUUGAUGGGAUGCUGUUCUUGCUGCUCUUCCUUGCAGAUCUUUCCAAGGCCGCGGGGCUUCCUGGGUAAGGCAGGGGGCUCCUGUUUUGGUCUUCACAUCUUUCCUUCCGCUGCGUUUUCACCUUUGCCCUCAGGAUUUCUGCUUGGGCCGCUUUUUGUGGCCCCAGUUCCCACUGAUUCUGGAUCGGUGGCACUGGCCACUUGAUGGGGGCUUCCUCAGAAUCAGGGGGCCUUAAGUAAAUGACUCUGAUCUCCGUAAGCAGCCGGCUGGUACUAAGCAUUUGAAUGUCUCCAUUACAUUUCCAACCCCCCCCCCCAAAAAAAACAAAAACAAAAUCAAAACAAAACAAACAACAACCAAAUAAUAAAUAAUAUAAAGAAAAUACUGUAAACAAAAUAAAAAGGAUACAAACCAAUAAAUAAAGUAAUAAAAUAAAUGUAUACAAUAUUUCAGAAACAAAGCUAAAUAAUGAAGAUUCUAAACUAACAAAUACUACAAAUAAAUUUACUACCAAACACCAACUUAAUAAUAGGAAUAAGAAUAAAUAACAAACACUACAAAGAAAUAUAUUCAAAAAACAAU